rnacentral:rRNA from 1 species
GCCUAAAGCGUCCGUAGCCGGCUUUGUAAGUUUUCGGUUAAAUCUAUAUGCUCAACAUAUAGGCUGCCGGGAAUACUGCAAAGCUAGGGAGUGGGAGAGGUAGACGGUACUCCGUAGGAAGGGGUAAAAUCCUUUGAUCUAUGGAUGACCACCAGUGGCGAAGGCGGUCUACCAGAACACGUUCGACGGUGAGGGAUGAAAGCUGGGGGAGCAAACCGGAUUAGAUACCCGGGUAGUCCCAGCUGUAAACUAUGCAAACUCAGUGAUGCAUUGGCUUGUGGCCAGUGCAGUGCCGCAGAGAAGUCGUUAAGUUUGCCGCCUGGGAAGUACGUACGCAAGUAUGAAACUUAAAGGAAUUGGCGGGGGAGCACCACAAGGGGUGAAGCCUGCGGUUCAAUUGGAGUCAACGCCAGAAAUCUUACCCGGAGAGACAGCAGAAUGAAGGUCAAGUUGAAGCCUUUACCAGACAAGCUGAGAAGUGGUGCAUGGCCGUCGCCAGCUCGUGCCGUGAGGUGUCCUGUUAAGUCAGGUAACGAGCGAGAUCCUUGCCUCUAGUUGCUACCAUUACUCUCAGGAGUAGUGGGGCGAAUUAGCGGGACUGCCGUAGUUAAUACGGAGGAAGGAGAGGGCCACGGCAGGUCAGUAUGCCCCGAA